AAAAGAAUUAAACAUACACAUACCAACAACAUAAUAAGAGAAAUGGAGAAGAAGUGUAUGAGUAUGUUCUUGGUGAUGAUUGUGAUGACAUUGACGAUGAUGCCACUAACGGCAGUGGGUGAACCAUAUGACGCUUGUGUACGCAGAUGCAUAAGCUCGUGCGAAAUAUUCUAUAGAGAAGUCGAUAAAUGCAUUCACGAUUGUAUUGGUAUCAAAUGCCACAAAUCAAACGUACUCCCUCGGAUGGCGGCUAAAGGGAAGUUUCAAGAAAUUCAUACAUAGACAUGUUAUUAAUACACAAAAUACUUCAGUUUUUCGUGUGUGGUACAUUAUAUGAAUUCUGAAUAAUAAAACUACGUCGUCAUUUCAAAA